GACGAACGCUGGCGGCGUGCCUAAUACAUGCAAGUAGAACGCACAGGAUGCACCGUAGUUUACUACACCGUAUUCUGUGAGUUGCGAACGGGUGAGUAACGCGUAGGUAACCUGCCUGGUAGCGGGGGAUAACUAUUGGAAACGAUAGCUAAUACCGCAUAAGAACAUUUACUGCAUGGUAGAGGUUUAAAAGGUGCAAAUGCAUCACUACCAGAUGGACCUGCGUUGUAUUAGCUAGUAGGUGAGGUAACGGCUCACCUAGGCGACGAUACAUAGCCGACCUGAGAGGGUGAUCGGCCACACUGGGACUGAGACACGGCCCAGACUCCUACGGGAGGCAGCAGUAGGGAAUCUUCGGCAAUGGGGGGAACCCUGACCGAGCAACGCCGCGUGAGUGAAGAAGGUUUUCGGAUCGUAAAGCUCUGUUGUUAAGGAAGAACGAGUGUGAGAAUGGAAAG
rnacentral:rRNA from 1 species